CAUUUUACUUUUAAUGAUUAUAACAGCUUUUAUAGGAUACGUACUACCGUGGGGUCAAUUUGGCCCCUCCUUCUACUAAUAGAAGGAUAAAAAAACCCCACUAAAUGCGGGAAACUCUUUAUUACUAAGGUACUUUUUUCCCAUGUAAGGCGCGAAAUGGACGAUUUUUGGUGGCGAUCCCUAUAAAUUUAGCGUUGCUGUCUGUCUUGCGUGGGUUUAAAUUCUAAGUAAAAAUCCUUAGCAUGGCAUCAUAGACAAUCCGCAGGAAAACUCUUGCUACACGAGAAUAGGCGUCUUCGGCCUUGGAAAAAAUAGCAUAGAGAUUUCCUCAGAGACUACACGUGGGGUGCCUAGUCUAUCAGUGAUCUUCGGCUAGGUAAAUAUAUAGUCCCAUUUCUUUCUAAAAAAUCA
rnacentral:ncRNA from 1 species